UACAGAGGGGGCAAGCGUUAUUCGGAAUUAUUGGGCGUAAAGGGCGCGUAGGCGGCUUGGCAAGUGGAAGGUGAAAUCCCUCGGCUUAACCGAGGAACUGCCCUCCAAACUGCUUUGCUUGAGGCCGGGAGAGGUGAGUGGAAUUCCCAGUGUAGCGGUGAAAUGCGUAGAUAUUGGGAGGAACACCAGUGGCGAAGGCGGCUCACUGGACCGGUUCUGACGCUGAUGCGCGAAAGCGUGGGGAGCAAACGGGG
rnacentral:rRNA from 1 species